GGGCAGGGGGCUAUCUGCAGUCAACGCCGCGAAGGUGCUUGCACCUUUCAGUGAGUGGCGAACGGGUGAGUAACACGUGGACAACCUGCCUCAAGGCUGGGGAUAACAUUUGGAAACAGAUGCUAAUACCGAAUAAAACUUAGUGUCGCAUGACACAAAGUUAAAAGGCGCUUCGGCGUCACCUAGAGAUGGAUCCGCGGUGCAUUAGUUAGUUGGUGGGGUAAAGGCCUACCAAGACAAUGAUGCAUAGCCGAGUUGAGAGACUGAUCGGCCACAUUGGGACUGAGACACGGCCCAAACUCCUACGGGAGGCUGCAGUAGGGAAUCUUCCACAAUGGGCGAAAGCCUGAUGGAGCAACGCCGCGUGUGUGAUGAAGGCUUUCGGGUCGUAAAGCACUGUUGUAUGGGAAGAACAGCUAGAAUAGGAAAUGAUUUUAGUUUGACGGUACCAUACCAGAAAGGGACGGCUAAAUACGUGCCAGCAGCCGCGGUAAUACGUAUGUCCCGAGCGUUAUCCGGAUUUAUUGGGCGUAAAGCGAGCGCAGACGGUUUAUUAAGUCUGAUGUGAAAGCCCGGAGCUCAACUCCGGAAUGGCAUUGGAAACUGGUUAACUUGAGUGCAGUAGAGGUAAGUGGAACUCCAUGUGUAGCGGUGGAAUGCGUAGAUAUAUGGAAGAACACCAGUGGCGAAGGCGGCUUACUGGACUGCAACUGACGUUGAGGCUCGAAAGUGUGGGUAGCAAACAGGAUUAGAUACCCUGGUAGUCCACACCGUANACGAUGAACACUAGGUGUUAGGAGGUUUCCGCCUCUUAGUGCCGAAGCUAACGCAUUAAGUGUUCCGCCUGGGGAGUACGACCGCAAGGUUGAAACUCANAGGAAUUGACGGGGAACCGCACAAGCGGGG
rnacentral:rRNA from 1 species